rnacentral:rRNA from 1 species
AGUGAACGCUGGCGGUAGGCCUAACACAUGCAAGUCGAACGGCAGCACAGUAAGAGCUUGCUCUUACGGGUGGCGAGUGGCGGACGGGUGAGGAAUACAUCGGAAUCUACUUUUUCGUGGGGGAUAACGUAGGGAAACUUACGCUAAUACCGCAUACGACCUACGGGUGAAAGCAGGGGAUCUUCGGACCUUGCGCGAUUGAAUGAGCCGAUGUCGGAUUAGCUAGUUGGCGGGGUAAAGGCCCACCAAGGGGACGAUCCGUAGCUGGUCUGAGAGGAUGAUCAGCCACACUGGAACGGAGACACGGUCCAGACUCCUACGGGAGGCAGCAGUGGGGAAUAUUGGACAAUGGGCGCAAGCCUGAUCCAGCCAUACCGCGUGGGUGAAGAAGGCCUUCGGGUUGUAAAGCCCUUUUGUUGGGAAAGAAAAGCAGCAGGUUAAUACCCCGCUGUUCUGACGGUACCCAAAGAAUAAGCACCGGCUAACUUCGUG